CGUGGUGUCGCUUAACUAAAGCAUCUUGCUUACACCAAGAAAAUGUCCGUAAUAACCAGACCACUACGA
rnacentral:tRNA from 1 species